rnacentral:lncRNA from 1 species
AAUGAUACAGUGGAGGCACCGGGUUGUACUGUGGCGGUACUAUAUGAUGGGGUGGAGGUACUAGAUUGUACUAUGGUGGUACCAGAUGGUACAAUGGAGGAGCAGGGUUGUACCAGAGUGGCUCCGAAUCUUCCCGCUUUAAGGGUGGCUCAAAUUGUGGAAGCGGGGGAGAGUCAGACAGCUCCCUCCUUUCCUUCCGGACCUGCUGGGCAGAGAUUAGUCUCU